ACCCGAUCCGUGCCGCCUGUCCAAUCUGUUUUGCGCAUGCGCAUAAUUGUGCGCAUGCGCAGAAGCUCAACUUGUUUUACGACAGUUUACGACCCUACCUGAUCUGUUCUACGCAUGCGCGACAACCGGAGUUUAAAAAUAGUGAAGAAAUGCGUCAUAUAAGAACACCGGCGAACAUAUGGAGGCUAAGUCAUUCGUAUAAAGGACCAACAUGGACCAGUAGUUAUUUCAUGCUGCCCUUCGGCAGUACCUACUAAGUGGGAUGUCGAUGUCGCGGUUGACUGGAAGAGAGUCAUGCGGGUGGCCAACCACUUCGUUGUAGAUGGUUUGUCCAUGCUGAUGGCUAUGCAGCAUAGUUGAAGCAGACCUGUCAGAAAACUUCUCUAAGGUGCUAUGAAUCAUAUGACUAGAUACACAUCCUAAAAUUACUAGAGGUUACGGAAGCUCCUUUUUGGAUCCAGCUUCAUUUGUGAAGACUUCAGAUGAUGCCAACACUCACAGAGGCUUAAGACGAUGGCAACAAUAGAUAGACAUACAAAAUUGCCAAAUAUAAUAUUGUAAUUACUGCCCCAAAGCGCAAGUUUGCCGAUUUUUAACCCACUUUAUAUUGUUACAAAUACAAUAGAUGCUAACAUUUGAACAGAAAAUGUUUCCUCUUUAUUCUUGAGUUAAUUGUGCUGAUUUAUUCCCAUUUUUUUAUCCACAAUUCUUUGCCAAAAUGAUGUUUUGCAUCAUCUAAAUGGUUCAUUUUCAAAUUACAGACAUUGUAACAACACAAAGUAGGUUGAAAUUCUGCCAACUUACCCUAUAAUAAUAAUUGUCUUUUAACUGAACAGGACUUUAAACACAUGACUUGUAUUAACUUAGAGCUAUUGUGAAAUUAAUAUUGUUUUGUUUCCAGAACAUUCUCCUCAGUGAGUCACUGUUACCUCAGACUGAUUAAGGGAUUUUUUUGUAACCUUGAAACAUGCAUUGGUUUUAUUAUGGUAAAACUGCAUAUCUUAUUUCAAACCAAGGUUUUGUAACCAUGGUUCUACUACAGUAACAUUAUAGUAAUGCUGGAGUGAAACUGUGGUAACCAUAUUAUUUUAAAUCAUGGUAAAGUUUGUGGUUACUAAAAUGCACUUCUAUAUGCUGUUGUAAGAGCAUGAUUAUUUUUUAUUUAUUAAUAAACCAUGGUUGAUUUUA